CCUACGGGAGUCAGCAGUGGGGAAUAUUGCACAAUGGGGGAAACCCUGAUGCAGCGACGCCGCGUGAGUGAAGAAGUAUUUCGGUAUGUAACGCUCUAUCAGCAGGGCAGAUAAUGACGGUACCUGAUUAAGAAGCCCCGGCUAACUACGUGCAAGCAGCCGCGGUAAUACGAAGGGGGCAAGCGUUAUCCGGAUUUAUUGGGUUUAAAGGGUGAGCAGGCGGUCUGUUAAGUCAGCGGUCAAACCCCGGGGCUAAACCCAGGCCCGCAGUUGAAACUGGCAGUCUCGAGUUGGAGAGAAGUAGGCGGAAUGCGCGGUGUAGCGGUGAAAUGCAUAGAUAUCGCGCAGAACUCCGAUUGCGAAGGCAGCACGCCGGCUCCACACUGACGCUGAGGCACGAAAGCGUGGGUAUCGAACAGGAUUAGAUACCCGAGUAGUC
rnacentral:rRNA from 1 species